GACGAACCGUGCGAACGUUGUUCGGAAUCACUGGGCUUAAAGGGCGCGUAGGCGGCUUGCCAAGUCAGGGGUGAAAUCUUUCGGCUCAACCGGAAAAGGGCCUUUGAUACUGGCAAGCUAGAGGGAGGUAGGGGCAUGUGGAACUUCUGGUGGAGCGGUGAAAUGCGUUGAUAUCAGAAGGAACGCCGGUGGCGAAAGCGACGUGCUGGAUCUCUUCUGACGCUGAGGCGCGAAAGCUAGGGGAGCAAACGGG
rnacentral:rRNA from 1 species